GACGAACGCUGGCGGCGUGCUUAACACAUGCAAGUCGAACGGAAAGGCCCUGCUUGCAGGGUACUCGAGUGGCGAACGGGUGAGUAACACGCGGGUGAUCUGCCCUGCACUUCGGGAUAAGCCUGGGAAACUGGGUCUAAUACCGGAUAGGAGCCAUUUUUAGUGUGAUGGUUGGAAAGUUUUUUCGGUGUAGGAUGAGCUCGCGGCUUAUCAGCUUGUUGGUGGGGUAAUGGCCUACCAAGGCGGCGUCGGGUAGCCGGCCUGAGAGGGUGGACGGCCACAUUGGGACUGAGAUACGGCACAGACUCGUACGGGAGGGAGAAGUGGGGAAUAUUGAACAAUGGGCGCAAGCCUGAUGCAGCGACGCCGCGUGGGGGAUGACGGCCUUCGGGUUGUAAAAUCCUUUCGCUAGGGACGAAGCUUUUUGUGACGGUACCUAGAUAAGAAGCACCGGCUAACUACGUG
rnacentral:rRNA from 1 species